rnacentral:rRNA from 1 species
UACGUAGGGUGCGAGCGUUUAAUCGGAAUUACUGGGCGUAAAGCGUGCGCAGGCGGUUCGUUGUGUCGGCGGUGAAAGCCCCGGGCUUAACCUGGGAAUGGCCGUUGAAACUGGCGAACUGGAGUGUGGCAGAGGGGGGUGGAAUUCCGCGUGUAGCAGUGAAAUGCGUAGAGAUGCGGAGGAACACCGAUGGCGAAGGCAAUCCCCUGGGCCUGUACUGACGCUCAUGCACGAAAGCGUGGGGAGCAA